rnacentral:rRNA from 1 species
AUGCUAGCUUCUGCGAUGGAUUACCUGAGAUCUUGCUGGGGUCCGACGUCGUCGCCGGACGGGCGCCCUCGCAAGGGGGUGGAUGCGGCCGGCCGGCAGGACGGGCUCCUGUGGUACAAGGACGCAGGGCAGCUCGUCGCCGGCGAGUUCUCGAUGGCCGUGGUCCAGGCCAAUAACCUGCUGGAGGACCACAGUCAGGUAGAAUCUGGGUCGCUGAGCACCACGGAUCCCGACCUGCAGGGCACCUUCGUCGGCGUCUAUGAUGGCCAUGGUGGACCGGAGACGGCACGCUACAUCAAUGACCACAUGUUCAACCAUCUGAAGGUAUAUGCAUCUGAGCAGAAGUGCAUGUCAGUGGAAGUAAUUCGGAAGGCUUUCCGAGCGACCGAGGAGGGAUUUCUCUCUCUGGUCAGUAAUCAAUGGUCGGUGAGGCCGCAAUUAGCGGCGGUAGGCUCUUGCUGUCUAGUUGGUGUGAUUUGUGCUGGAACUCUCUAUGUUGCAAAUGUUGGGGACUCCCGUGCUAUUCUGGGGAGACUUGUCAAGGGAACUGGAGAGGUUGUGGCUAUGCAGCUCUCAGCAGAACAUAAUGCAUCCUUUGAGGAGGUUAGGCGAGAGAUGCAGGCAAUGCAUCCUGAUGAUCCCCACAUUGUGAUCCUGAAGCACAAUGUUUGGCGUGUGAAGGGUAUUAUUCAGAUAACAAGGUCCAUUGGAGAUGUGUAUCUGAAGAGACCAGAAUUCAACAGAGAACCUUUGCAUAGCAAGUUUCGGCUUCCAGAAACUUUCCGGAGACCGCUUCUUAGUUCUGAGCCAGCAAUUACUGUACACCAAAUACAGUUAACUGAUCAGUUCAUCAUUUUUGCAUCUGAUGGACUCUGGGAGCAUCUUAGUAACCAAAAAGCUGUUGAGCUAGUCCACAGUAGUCCUCGUAAUGGGAUUGCUCGAAAGCUAGUGAAGGCUGCAAUGCAGGAAGCAGCAAAGAAGAGGGAGAUGCGGUAUUCAGAUCUCAAGAAAAUUGACCGUGGAGUGAGGCGCCACUUUCAUGAUGAUAUAACGGUCGUUGUGGUAUUUUUCGAUUCGAAUGCCAUAGCCAUGGAUGCCUGGAGCCGUCCCACAGUUUCUCUGAGAGGUGGCGGCGUUGCCCUCCCAGCAAAUUCCCUUGCUCCAUUCUCAGGUUCCUAG